rnacentral:lncRNA from 10 species
ACGGCGAGAAGGCUCUCUCACCAGAUGCCAGCCCCUCAGCCUUGGACUUCCUAACCACCAGAACGGCCUUGUAAGAGAACACUGCCUCCUUGAAGACUGCCAUAAGCCAUGAGGAAUGUCUUCUAAAUCAGAAUCAUGUCCACACAACAAAGUUUUAUUAAUAGAAAAAAAAAUCUUUCAAAAAACAAAUCAAUAGCUGGUUUGCCGAUUAACUGCCUAGAAUCCCUGAUUUCCCACAUGAGUUCAUAUUAUGAAUCCACCAGAGAAUCCUUUCAAUACAACUUUGGUCAUUGGGAGGCACGGAAACAGCAUUGCCCAGGUCCUGCCACCUUCUGGCCAUGUGACCCUGGGUGAGUCCCUCCACCUGUCCUAACUUACUGUGCCUCUUCAGGGGAAUUUCACUGGUCAUGGAAAUGGACCAGUUUACAGCGAAUCCACUUAAGACAAAUCCUAAAAUUGCACACUAAACAGAAGAUGUUCAACUGG